rnacentral:ncRNA from 1 species
AGGUGAUCUAAGGUGGUGUUGAGCGGCUUGAUGUGCAGCGCGUUGUUGUGCAGAUCGACGUUGCCGCUGGCGUGCACCAGCUCGCCGUCGAGGGGAAUAUCGAGCUUCAGAUGCCCCUGGGUUUUCCCCUUGAUCUCCAGCUGCUCCAGCGCCGCGCCCAGCGAGGCCUUCAGCGGCGUAUCCUGAAAAUAGCGUGCGAUUUGAUCGCCUUCGCCGCUGAUAUCGCCGUCGAUCAGCAGUUUCUCUUUCAGGUAGUCCGGAAUGGCCGCGCUGAAAUGGCCGACGUCUACCUCGCCCAGCCUGAAGCGCGGCGCCGUCAUCCACAGCCCGUCGUUGAUGAAGUUGAGAUCGAUAUCGAGCUGAGAAACGUCGGGCCAGUUGGGCUGGAAGGCAUAGGUCGCCUGCCGCAGCGGCACC